GGUGGCUCAGUGGUAGAGUGCUUGCCUUGCAUGCAUGAGGCCUGGGCUCGAUUCCUGAGUACCA
rfam:Dipodomys ordii contig_1314, whole genome shotgun sequence.